GCGGGAUUAGUUUAAUGGUAGAAUAUCAGUUUUCCAAACUGAGGGUACGAGUUCGAUUCUCGUAUCCCGCA
rnacentral:tRNA from 1 species